rnacentral:rRNA from 1 species
CCUACGGGGGGCUGCAGUAACGAAUCUUCCGCAAUGCACGAAAGUGUGACGGAGCGACGCCGCGUGUGGGACGAAGUCCUUCGGGAUGUAAACCACUGUCAGGGGAAAGAAAGUUCUGAUCUACCCCAGAGGAAGAGGCGGCUAACUCUGUGCCAGCAGCCGCGGUAAUACAGAGGCCUCAAGCGUUAGGCGGAAUCACUGGGCUUAAAGCGUGUGUAGGCGGACUUCUAAGUACCUUGUGAAAUCCCACGGCUUAACUGUGGAACUGCUUGGUAUACUGGUUGUCUUGAGCCACUCAGGGGCGAGCGGAACAAAUGGUGGAGCGGUGAAAUGCGUAGAUAUCAUUUGGAACGCCGAUGGUGAAAACAGCUCGCUGGGGGUGUGCUGACGCUGAGACACGAAAGCCAGGGGAGCGAACGGGAUUAGAUACCCGUGUAGUC